rnacentral:rRNA from 1 species
AUUGAACGCUGGCGGCAGGCCUAACACAUGCAAGUCGAGCGGAGCGGCGGACGGGUGAGUAAUGCCUAGGAAUCUGCCUGGUAGUGGGGGAUAACGUCCGGAAACGGGCGCUAAUACCGCAUACUAUCAGAUGAGCCUAGGUCGGAUUAGCUAGUUGGUGGGGUAAAGGCCUUCCAAGGCGACGAUCCGUAACUGGUCUGAGAGGAUGAUCAGUCACACCGGAACUGAGAAGCGGUCCAGAAUCCUACGUGAGGCAUCAGUGGGGAAGAUUGGACAAUGGGCGAAAGCCUGAUCCAGCCAUGCCGCGUGUGUGAAGAUGGUCUGCGGAUUGUAAAGCAAUUUAAGUUUGGUGGAGUUACCAACAGAAUAAGCACCGGCUAACUUCGUGACAGCAACCGCGGUAAUAC